rnacentral:tRNA from 1 species
GGCUUGUGGCUCAGUGGCAGAGCACUUGCCUAACAUGCAUGAGGUACUGGGUUUGAUCCUCAGCACCA